GACGAACGCUGGCGGCGUGCUUAACACAUGCAAGUCGAACGGAAAGGCCCUGCUUUUGUGGGGUGCUCGAGUGGCGAACGGGUGAGUAACACGUGAGUAACCUGCCCUUGACUUUGGGAUAACUUCAGGAAACUGGGGCUAAUACAGGAUAGGAGCUCUUGCUGCAUGGUGGGGGUUGGAAAGUUUCGGCGGUUGGGGAUGGACUCGCGGCUUAUCAGCUUGUUGGUGGGGUAGUGGCUUACCAAGGCUUUGACGGGUAGCCGGCCUGAGAGGGUUACCGGCCACAUUGGGACUGAGAUACGGCCCAGACUCCUACGGGAGGCAGCAGUGGGGAAUAUUGCACAAUGGGCGGAAGCCUGAUGCAGCAACGCCGCGUGCGGGAUGACGGCCUUCGGGUUGUAAACCGCUUUCGCCUGUGACGAAGCGUGAGUGACGGUAAUGGGUAAAGAAGCACCGGCUAACUACGUG
rnacentral:rRNA from 1 species